UACGUAGGGGUGCGAGCGUUGUCCGGAAUUACUGGGCGUAAAGAGCUCGUAGGUGGUUUGUCGCGUUGUUCGUGAAAACUCACAGCUUAACUGUGGGCGUGCGGGCGAUACGGGCAGACUGGAGUACUGCAGGGGAGACUGGAAUUCCUGGUGUAGCGGUGGAAUGCGCAGAUAUCAGGAGGAACACCUGAGGCGAAGGCGGGCUACUGGGCCGAUACUGACGCUGAUGCGCGAAAGCCAGGGGAGCGAACGGG
rnacentral:rRNA from 1 species